CAGAAGAGACCAAAAACGGUUUCGUAGAAGUAAAUCAGCUAUUCGCAGUAACAGCAGCUGAAUAAAAUCAAAGAGCUUAGAACCCAAGGCUGCGUUCGAAACCGCCCACUUCUCUACUAUUUAGUAGGGGAAAAGCAGUAGGCGAGCGAAUAAGUAUGUCAGAAACCUCAGUAAUAAAAGAGUAGUCGAGAAGUUCCCGGAUGGCCUACUGCUCCCGCCCAGAUUCUGAAGUGCUCCUCGAUGGACACUCUUCUAUCCCAGGAGGCCACGGGAGAGGAUACGUCAUAAUCGACACGGAGGAGAAAAGCGGCGCGGAUGCUUUCAAAUGGACAGAUGAUCACGUGUGUUUAUCCGGUGGAGAGAGACUGAUGAAGGACUGAUGCCAUCAAAGGCUUUGAGUGACGAUAGUCACCCGAUUAAUACUGAGAUUCUAGAUGUUUUUAUUUAAAAAGGCUUAAAAGAGGUGUAGCGAGGAAUUUCACUACAAUGUAGGGGUGAGUUUAACUUCAGCUGCAAUAUAUCUUGGAUGACUAGGCAUUGACAAGAUCUAGGUCCUCACCCCCUAGUACGAUUAAUUCCCGUACUUAUAUAUAUAUAUAUAUAUAUAUAUAAGUAUGUUGUUGUCUGCCUUGCUAAUGUUGCUUUUGUCUUUUGUAGCAGCGACUGAUGAGGAUUGAGGCUCUGGAACUUAACAUACACGGUAGCUCCCCAGAGUAUAACAGUGUUGAUUAACCCCUCUUCCCCUCUUCAGACCACAAGACAGUAGGAAUGCCCCUACUCCAAGAUAUCAAAGUUUUACACUUAUUUCUUAAAUGUUUAGCAGAAUUAAACAAAAUAAAGAAAACAACAGUCCUGAAAUAAAUUCUUUGUUUCACUCUAUUUUUUAUAUAUUUCUUGAAAAAUCAUAAGAAAGUUUUGUUCAGAUUCAAACUUUUGUUCAGUUUCUUCUCUUUCAACAGUAAUACUCAAAAUCAGAAAAACAACAACAGUUCUGAUAGAAUGCUCAGAUGGUACUCAGUUCACUCAAAAGUACAUUACAGAUGUUUCAUUCCAUAUCAGAUAUUUCCAGUUCACAUACCUGAGUGAGAUUCACAACCCCAAAGUUAAAGUUUUACCUCACAGUAGAACUGGGCUGGUGUUGGAGUGUCCAGAUAUGGCAGGGUAAUUAAAUCAAACAAAUAGCCACCUGUUCAAAAACAGAAAGUCCCUUCCGUUUCUUCAACGACAGGAAAAAUAA